rnacentral:lncRNA from 10 species
CGACCCCCGCCCGGCAGCUCCGGAGGUGGGGUCGGAGUUGGGUGAAGGCUGACCCACACGCAAAGGGCCAGGCUCCGAUCGAGCUGCCCAACACCCACUGGCCGGGCCCCGCAGACUCAAAGGGCGACCACAGCAGCCCAGAAAGGGAACACAGGCAUCUGGGACCGAAACGUCUCAUAAUUUCUUGGCGGGUCUCCAGCCUAGUGGCAGCUUAAAAUAAACUGGCAUGAAAUGGGGUCGUGGAAGAGUUCAAGAAUUAAUUGGGUGAAAAAUAGUAUUUGACUAGAUGAUCGGGCUCGCAUGGCUGCUCUUCAGUCAGACCGGGGAGUGGGGAAGACAAUAGUGCGCCUCAGGUCCUCAUCCCUGGCCCCUCUUCCCAACCUGCCCCUCAUUAACCCUUCCCUCUGACAUCUUGGGUCUGGAGCAGGCAAAGGUAAAUGGAAUCAAGCACCUUUCCUCUGAGUCACAACUGAGGGUGGAGGUGCUGCUGGAUUUUCCUUCUUUUCCAGGCUGUUCUCAAACCCCUCAAGGUCUACCUGCUGCCUUCGGGGUUCAACUUCCAGCAAGAAGCGUGGGAAGCAGCCCCAUCCCCACUAAGCCCCCAAGCGGAGUGGUGUGGUGAGCCCAGCACGAAAUCCCCUUCCAAUCUCUCAAAGCAAACCUCUCCAAGCACUCGCUUACCCUACCCUGACUGGUGCCUCCAGCUUCGCACAGGUGUUGGAGGCGAUAAGGAGAGUGACAUCCAUUAAACCUGAGGCACAACAGAGCCCCAGCGGGGAGAAGAAACAGCCUGACGUCGCUUCCAGGCGAACCAGGCCACGUGCGGAUUCAGGUCAUCGCCUCUGUUGUGUCUCCUACCGGUGACUUGGCAUUUGCGCCGGCGACUGGCGGCCACCGGGAAUUCCGUAAGGGCGCCGGGAGUGGAGGGCAAAUUAACACAACUGCCCGCUAACCCCCCACCCCCACCCCCAGGCGGCAAAAGGGAGCGGGAAAUGUGGAAAGCGUCAGAAAAGAAAUCCAUCAAGGCGAAAGCACCACACAAAGGCGCGCAGGCCUCGCGUUCCUCCCGCCCUGCCCUGGCCAGCUCCAACGCCGGUGCCUGGUUCAUAUGCUACCAGGGCUGGCGACUCUCCCGAGGCCCUCUUUGUUGUGUGGGUAAUUGUAUCCCUCCUGGGUGGCGGGAAGAGGGAGCUGCAAAGGAAAUUGGAAUGAGACCUGAGGACUUAACACGAGACCUCCUGCCCGGGAGCCAAUGCCAGCGUCUAAAGGGGCUUUCCGGUAAUAAUCCCCACUUCAUUGAUGAGGAUACUUAUUUUCUCAAAUAUAAAGUGCCAUAAAAGCGCAUCAAUAAGCACUCCCUGUAACCACACUAUCCUUCUUAAGCCCUUUCUGUAUACAAAUUCUGGAAAUUCAUACAAUUAAUUACAUCUCAGAAAUAAAUAAAUGGGGG